rnacentral:sRNA from 1 species
GGGAGGUAUCAACACUUUAUCUACCAAGUUUUGACAAUAAUAAAAAUCUGACAACAAAAAAAAUAUAAAAAAAACUAGAUAAAAAAAUAUGUAAAUAUAUAUUUAUAUCUUUAUAUAUGUAUGCAUAUGAGUAUGUCUCUAUACAAAUGCAUUGAUUUGAGUAAUACAAUUAUUUGUGUUUGAAAGAAGAUGCAAAUCUAAAAGCCAUGAACUACAGACAACAUCAAAAGGGACAUCAUCUUUAGAGAAUAAAUGAGAUGAAUGAAAGAGUAUUGUGGCCAGAUGGAUUGGAUUGAUUCUCUGUGUGUGUGUGUGACACAUUGAGGAUGUUGUGCUUAGAGUGGAACGUGUGGAAGAGGGAAUGCAUUUAGAGAGAACUGAAAGAACAGAAUGGAACACAUGAACAUCAGGCCAUGAUGGUUAACCAUGGAGAUCACACAAUAGCUCCAUUAGGCACCAGGUCAUCAAGUCACAAGAUCACACAAUAGCUCCAUUAGGCACCAGGUCAUCAAGUCACAAGAUCACACAAUAGCUCCAUUAGGCACCAGGUCAUCAAGUCACAAGAUCACACAAUAGCUCCAUUAGGCAC